UACGAGGGGGGCAAGUGUGGUUCGGAAUUACUGGGCGUAAAGGGAGCGUAGGCGGGCUCUUAAGUUGGAUGUUUAAAACCGGGGCCUAACCCCGGCGUGGCAUCCAAAACUGGGGGUCUUGAAUGGGACAGAGGCCAGUGGAAUUAGAGGUGUAGCGGUGGAAUGCGUAGAUAUCUCUAAGAACACCAGUUGCGAAGGCGGCUGGCUGGGUCCACAUUGACGCUGAGGCUCGAAAGCGUGGGGAGCAAACAGG
rnacentral:rRNA from 1 species